UACGUAGGGUGCAAGCGUUGUCCGGAAUUAUUGGGCGUAAAGAGCUCGUAGGCGGUCUGUCGCGUCGGCUGUGAAAUCCCGGGGCUCAACCCCGGGCCUGCAGUGGAUACGGGCUGGCUAGAGGCAGGCAGGGGAGAACGGAAUUCCUGGUGUAGCGGUGAAAUGCGCAGAUAUCAGGAGGAACACCGGUGGCGAAGGCGGUUCUCUGGGCCUGUACUGACGCUGAGGAGCGAAAGCGUGGGGAGCGAACAGG
rnacentral:rRNA from 1 species